UUUUAUUUAAUUUUCCAACGAACACCCUCUUUUAUCAUUCAAAACCGUGAAAGUAAAUUAAGAAGAAAUGGGUUUCUUUCAAUUAGGCUCAGCGUUGCUUUGAGUAACUGCCUAUAAUUCUAUUUAAUGAAAAAAUAAAAUCAUUAUUCCACGUCUCCCCCUGCCCUGUCACAAGCCCACAGACGGGCUCCAUUAGCGUGCACCGUAGAUUUAUUUAAUUAGAAAAAUAUUUUGUUUUCUCUGAUUCUUUGGGAAAAGAAAAAAAACCCCUCCAGGCACAAAAUUAAUCAAAUCUGUUACCUGGUGGUUAAUGGCUCCUGCGCGCGGGCAUCUCCGCCCACGCUGCUGCUCCCACCCUGGGUUUGCCCCCUGAAUUUGGACGCAGGCCCCCCAUGGGCCCCACCACACCCGCCUGGCCAAGUCUGGCCAAGACUGUCGCUGCGGGGUGGGGAGCUCCCCAUGGUUGUGACACUGGGAAGGAGCCAAAUUCCGUGGUCGCCAAGCACCAGUCCUCUGGGCGAGCGCCGUGCAGGAAGCCGAGCCGGGCGCACACGUGCUGCUCGUUAAACCAGGGCCCCUGUGACCCCCCAGUCCCGGCCCAGCCGCCCAGAGGCCUCAUCCGGUCCCCAGGGGCAUAAGCAGAGUCCAGGGUGGCCAGAGGAGCAGGGACGGAGACCAGUCCACCGGGGGAGUCUAAUGACCCCACAGGGCGACACCAGGGGACUGUACCUGAGUCCCCUCCACUGCCUAGCAGCCCCCAGGUCCCCAACGCGACUGCCAGGCCCACGGCCCUUUCAAGUUCUCCAGAACCGCAGGCUUCCUGCUGCCGAUGACGACCAAGGCUCCGACAGGUCCCACCCCUUGGCUGGGGUCCCUCCACACCAAGUCCAGCAGCCUGACCUCCAACCUUCACUCCUGCCUGCUGGUCCCAUGGUGGCUGGACCCCAAGCCCCUGUCCCCACACUGCUCGGCCCAACGGUUGCCCCAGAGGUCAUACAUGGGUCCCCGCUGUCAGAGAUACCUCAACCAAGGGAGGCCCUCCAGGUGUGUGCGAGUCUGGCCCUGGCCUUGGAAGCUCCAACAGAGAGGACCGAGUACCCGGAGUCAUCGCUGGACGGGAUGGGCCCAUACUCCCUGUUCUGGGGCCCCAUUGGUCCCCCCCUUGUCCUUCCUGUGACCCAAGGUGCCCCCAGGCAGAGCCUGCCAUGUGGAUUUCCGAGAUUGGGCCACAGGCUGGGGGAGUCUCAGCUUGGGACCCACAGCGGAGGGCACUCCCAGAGCACCCAAGCCCGAGGCUAGACCACCGGGCUGUUCCAGGGCGCUUGCCUCCAUCUCAGAUAGGAUGUGCCACUUGCAUUAAUAUACCCAUUGAGACAGAAAGGCUGGCAACAGAUGGUGCUCCCCUGGAGCCUCCAGAAGGAAUGCGGCCCUGUCCACACCUUGAGUAGGACUCUGGCCCCCAGAACGCUAAGACAAUGCAUUGGUGAGGCUUUAAGCCACUACGAUAGAGGUAACUUGUUACAGCAGCCACUGGAGACUAAUACCCAGGCUGUGUCCAUCUCUUCUCACUAUAGCUUGACCUGUGAGCUGAAGCGGACUCCAAGCAGUGUAAGUAAUGCCGCGACAGACACCUGCACCCUCUGCACUCAUGGUGCUUCCCGUCGUGCCAGCUGUGUGCUCGCAGCCCAGGACCACCGGUUCCAAGUGUUUCCCGGGCUGCUGCCACCCCAGCCCCACUCAGUCAAGCGUGGACAGUGGCUCUCACUGUGGCUCAUUGUGAGACGUCCUUGGCAGCUUUGAAGGGCAGCUUGCUUCGGCCCCGGGUACAUGGGCAGGGGCUGUGGCUCCCCUGGGGCCCUGACAGGGCCCAACACUGAUGGGAUGAACCCACCACCUGCCUGUGGGGCCACCUCUUGGGCUCCGUCCAUUCGGAGUUCCCAGCUGGGGUUUGGGGGGGAGGGGAGGUACGGCUCACGAUCCUGUCAUGCAGGCCUGCCUGUGGAUCACAGGCCCCUGCAGGAAAGCCGAUGGAAUCAACAUGAGCCAGCACAGGAAAGACAUAGCCAUGGGUGCUACCGGUCAGGCCCCCAUUCCUGGGUCCCCACCCCCACCCCGUGGUUAGAACCUGACAGGGCUCCUAUCCAAGAACCAUGAGAGCCCCUUGCCCUCCUACCUGCCUCGGUCUCCCCUCCCACACUAUGGGUGUACAUCGGUGCCCAGCCCAAGCUCAGGAGAACCACACAGAUGUUCGGAGGGCCAGCCAGCUGGGAGAGUGGGCACCAGAAGGCCAUCACCCACAGCCCUGGGAGACCAAACCCGGGUCCCCACCUCCUGGGCCCUUUGUGAGGCCAGAGGGCCCCCGCCACCCUCCCUCCUGCAGGCACCUAGGAGGGAGCAUCCUGGUGAACGCCUGGCUGUGCAUGGAGCACGGCCUCCCUCUGCUGGCGCCUGCAUGCAAUGACCACGGGCGGUCAUCCCAGGAGGCCACUCUCAGAACAGCUCAGGAUCCCAGGGCCACAGGCCUUGGAUGGUGGGGGGCCAUGGAAGCUGAGGCCGCAGAUGCCCUCCACCCAGUCAGUGCUGCCGACCUGGCCCUACAAGGGUGCUGGCCACGGCAGGCAGAGCCACCUCCACUGAGCACAAACCACUAGCCGGCAGGCCCUGGGCUCCAGAGGAUGGUGUCCCUGACCCCUACAGGCACAGAGUCAGUACCACUAACCCGCUUCACUGGGAAGGAAACUGAGUCCCCCACAGGGACAGUGAUCUGUGGGUGAGGCUAUCAGGGCAUCCUCGCCCACUGCCUGGAGGAGAUAUGAGGACAUGGAGCACCAGCAUGCCCUCUGGCCCUUCCUGGAGCUCUUCCCUCCACAGGCUGCCUGGGCUAGGGCUGCCUGGACUGGGGUGCCCUAGGGGCACUGCCUGGAAGUGGAAGGGGCUGAGGAGGACCUCAGACCCUGGGGCCCAGACACUGCCCUCCCAUCCCAUCAAACCUUCUCCUAAAGCAGUGGGUGGGCAGAAGCCAGCAGGAGCACUGAGGGAGAGGUGCCAGCUGCAGGUAUCUGGGCUUGGGCCAGGUCUAGGGGUCCCCCUUCUUGUACACUACGGGGCCUGUCCCUGGAAGCUGUCUCCCCAGCCUGCCCAACCCUCUGUUGGCUCUAGGCCUGACUCCACCACAGACCAGCGUCCACACUCCCAACCUGCAUGCUCCCACGCCCAGCCCCUGACCCAAGAGGCUAUAGGAGGCCCAGCACCCCUCCCCUACUCUCUGGGGCCUGGUGGCUCCUCUCUGGAGCUGAAUGCCAGGCUUGGCUCAGAGACUGUAACUUCUGGGUCCCACCCCACCACCCUUCCCCCCGACACCCAGGGUGGCUACCAAUAGAUCUCACAGCCCAGGCAGAUGAAGGGCUUCUCUCAUCACCAUUGUGAGCUGCUGCCCCAGCUCCAGAGAGAGAGGCCUGGCGGUCUCAGCAGGAAUAAACAGCAGGCCGACUGUUUAUCUGUCCUGACG
ensembl:lncRNA